UAUCUCCCCUGGGCUGCUUGGGGCACUGGCGUCUGCCCUGGGGAGGGGAGGGGCCCAUCUUCAGUGACAGCUGAGGGGACAGAAGGAAGCAAAGGCGGCAGGUGCCCCUGGAGCACUGCCUGCGCCAAAGAGGGAGGAUUCGUUCGUCAACCACAGAUUUUACCGCCCAAGGCCGGAAGAGCGCCCCGUUACCAGGCGGACACAGGACUCUGGGCUGGCGGGCCGUCAUGCAAACCCAAGGGACAGCGAGGAGGCAGAGGUCCGGGACGGCCACCUGAGAGACCAAACACUUAUUUCAGACGGACAGAGCACGACCAGAGGUGACUGAUGGAACGACCGCGUCGACUCAGCGGUCAGCCGGCCCGCACGUUUGUUCACCUGCCCUUGCCACCCACGGGGGACGUCGGGCAUCGUUGCAGGCAGGUGGAGACAGCGACUCCUCUGCUCGUGUACGGGGCUGCGUGCAGCACGGCAACCGCCAGCUCGGUCCCCUGCAGCCCCUCCCGCACACCAUGUGUGUCUGCCACUCUGCGGGAGGGGCAAUCCGUGCAACGUGGCGGCCAAUCAGGUGACUCUCCUCAUCUAAAAAAACAAUCGCUUUAAUGACACCUUUCAACCCUGGGGUAACAUAAAAACCACAGCAUGACUUGUCUUGCAUUGGCCAGAGUCCAUUAUGGUUUUUUUCCAUUAAAUAAAAGGCAUUUUUCAAUUUCA